GUAAUCAAAAAACCCUCUGAAGUAACAUGGACGUGUCAAGUCUGGCUUGAAGAGACAAUCUAUCUGCACCUUUUCUGGUAAAAAGUGAAGUACUCUUGUUGUUAUUUGCUGUUCAGACUGAAGAGGACACACACAAGCCCAGACUUCAGAGUUUUCCUCUGCUUCUAAGCUUCUAGGGUGCAGAUGAUGUCUCAUAUCCGUGUGUUUCUGCUUCUCUGCACGUUCCUGCUGAUCUUCUUCUGUGCAGCAGGUGUUCCAGCUCACAGGGAGAUCAGGGCGAAGAGGAGCGUCCCAUACUGGAACCUGUGGUCAUCUGACUUCUAUGGUUGGGUGGACGUGCUGCGUUCUCAGAGCGGAUACGACACACUUCUGGACUUGGCAAGGAACUACUGGGCUCACUAUCCCGUUGCAGGUUUUCUAGGUUACGGAAGCACCCCAGGCCAAACAGACGGUCCAGAACUGGAAGUUGAAGAUUUAAAAUAACAUCGCAAUGUCCUUCCCACUGGGCUUCCUCUAUGUACCCCUUCGCUAGCUGUCUGGAUUUUAUCUAAUACUGCGCAUGUCUUUUCCUUAUGGUGCAUUCUCUUGUGGGUUUUUUGCCAUCUGGGAAUCCUUUCCACAGGUUUAGUUUCACUCAGCUUUUUAUUCUUGCAAAAUAACUGUCCGCGCAAAUGAUCCGUGUAAUUCAGAAAUGUUUGUUGUCAGUGCAACAUUAAGCAAACCAGUUUUGUUACCAAUUUUCGAAAUGUAAGUGCAACAAUAAAUGCAUUCUAUGAAAGAC